rnacentral:rRNA from 1 species
GAUGAACGCUGGCGGCGUGCCUAAUACAUGCAAGUAGAACGCUGAAGGAAGGAGCUUGCUCUUUCCGGAUGAGUUGCGAACGGGUGAGUAACGCGUAGGUAACCUGCCUGGUAGCGGGGGAUAACUAUUGGAAACGAUAGCUAAUACCGCAUAACAGUAGAUGUUGCAUGAUAUCUACUUAAAAGGUGCAAUUGCACCACUACCAUAUGGACCUGCGUUGUAUUAGCUAGUUGGUGAGGUAACGGCUCACCAAGGCGACGAUACAUAGCCGACCUGAGAGGGUGGUCGGCCACACUGGGACUGAGACACGGCCCAGACUCCUACGGGAGGCAGCAGUAGGGAAUCUUCGGCAAUGGACGGAAGUCUGACCGAGCAACGCCGCGUGAGUGAAGAAGGUUUUCGGAUCGUAAAGCUCUGUUGUAAGAGAAGAACGAGUGUGAGAGUGGAAAGUUCACACUGUGACGGUAUCUUACCAGAAAGGGACGGCUAACUACGUG